GGACGAACGCUGGCGGCGUGCCUAACACAUGCAAGUUGAGCGACGAACCAGGGCUUGCCCUGGGGCAAAGCAGCGAACGGGUGAGUAACACGUGGGUAACCUACCCCGAUAACCGGGACAACCCGAGGAAACUCGGGCUAAUACCGGAUGUGCUCACUGGACUUCGGUUCAGUGCGUAAAGGAAGCUUCGGCCUCCGUAUCGGGAGGGGCCCGCGGCCCAUUAGUUUGUUGGUGAGGUAACGGCUCACCAAGACCGCGAUGGGUAGCUGGUCUGAGAGGACGAUCAGCCACACUGGGACUGAGACACGGCCCAGACUCCUACGGGAGGCAGCAGUGGGGAAUCUUGCGCAAUGCGCGAAAGCGUGACGCAGCAACGCCGCGUGGGGGAAGAAGGCCUUCGGGUUGUAAACCCCUUUCAGGAGGGACGAAGGUUCGGCGGUGAAUAGCCGUCCGGACUGACGGUACCUCCACAAGAAGCCCCGGCUAACUACGUG
rnacentral:rRNA from 1 species